rnacentral:rRNA from 1 species
UACAGAGGGGGCAAGCGUUAUUCGGAAUUAUUGGGCGUAAAGGGCGCGUAGGCGGCCUGGCAAGUGGAAGGUGAAAUCCCUCGGCUUAACCGAGGAACUGCCUUCCAAACUGCUUGGCUUGAGUCCGGGAGAGGUGAGUGGAAUUCCCAGUGUAGCGGUGAAAUGCGUAGACAUUGGGAGGAACACCAGUGGCGAAGGCGGCUCACUGGACCGGAACUGACGCUGAGACGCGAAAGCGUGGGGAGCGAACAGG